GGGAAGGUGGCUCAGUGGUAGAGUGCUUGCCUUGCAUGCAUGAGACCCUGGGUUCGAUUCCUCAGCACCCU
rnacentral:tRNA from 1 species